rnacentral:rRNA from 1 species
AUUGAACGCUGGCGGCAUGCCUUACACAUGCCAGUCGAACGGUAACAGGUUAAGCUGCCGAGUGGCGAACGGGUGAGUAAUGUAUCGGAACGUGCCCAGUCGUGGGGGAUAACUGCUCGAAAGAGCAGCUAAUACCGCAUACGACCUGAGGGUGAAAGCGGGGGAUCGCAAGACCUCGCGCGAUUGGAGCGGCCGAUAUCAGAUUAGGUAGUUGGUGAGGUAAAGGCUCACCAAGCCGACGAUCUGUAGCUGGUCUGAGAGGACGACCAGCCACACUGGGACUGAGACACGGCCCAGACUCCUACGGGAGGCAGAAGUGGGGAAUUUUGGACAAUGGGCGAAAGCCUGAUCCAGCCAUGCCGCGUGCGGGAAGAAGGCCUUCGGGUUGUAAACCGCUUUUGUCAGGGAAGAAAAGGUUCUGGCUAAUACCUGGGACUCAUGACGGUACCUGAAGAAUAAGCACCGGCUAACUACGUG